rnacentral:rRNA from 1 species
UACGGACGGGGCAAGCGUUGUUCGGAAUCAUUGGGCGUAAAGGGCGCGUAGGUGGUUCUGUAUGUCUACCGUGAAAGCGUACGGCUCAACCGUAUUUUGUCGGUGGAAACUGCAGGACUUGAGGCUGGGAGGGGCUGGUGGAAUUCCCUGUGUAGCGGUGAAAUGCGUAGAGAUGGGGGAGAACACUCGUGGCGAAGGCGGCCAGCUAGACCAGUUCUGACACUGAGGCGCGACAGCGUGGGGAGCAAACAGG